rnacentral:rRNA from 1 species
UGACGACCAUAGCAAGGUGGUCCCACUCCUUCCCAUCCCGAACAGGACAGUGAAACGCCUUUGCGCCGAUGAUAGUGGACGGACGUCUGUGAAAGUAGGUCAUCGUCA